ACCUCUUCUCUGUCCCUCGAGAUCUCCGAUUCCGGCUGACGACGGGCUCCUCCGACGUCACACACACACCUGCAAAACACCCAACCCCCACCCCUGUGAUACACCUCUCCCUCUCGCACACCAUUUCUAGUCGGAGACACGCAAGACACCGGUGACGAUUCGAUUACCGGCGACACACUUCCCCUCUCGUUCACUCUCUCCACGUUUAUCCGGCGCCGCCACGGCGGCGGCAUGAUUCAGGCGGCGGCGAUACUCGGUCCGACGACGUUCACGUCUCGGGCCAGGUUCUAUCGCGUUUCAGUCUCGGGUCAGGUCCAAACCGCAAGUUCAGGUUUCCGUUCACUCGAGCCUUGGGUCAGCGACUUUGAUUCAGUUCAGUUUCAUUUCAGUCGACUAGGGUCAAUUCAGCUUUGGUUCGGUUCGACAAGUCAACAUCGGUUAGCAUUGAUUCGGGUAAGCUUAAGUCUCAGCUCAAGUGCGGGUCUCGGUGCUGCUCGGUUCAACCCGGUUC